AAUAGAUACCCAGGUAGUCCACGCCGUAAACGAUGAGUGCUAAGUGUUAGAGGGUUUCCGCCCUUUAGUGCUGUAGCUAACGCAUUAAGCACUCCGCCUGGGGAGUACGGCCGCAAGGCUGAAACUCAAAGGAAUUGACGGGGGCCCGCACAAGCGGUGGAGCAUGUGGUUUAAUUCGAAGCAACGCGAAGAACCUUACCAGGUCUUGACAUCCUCUGACACUCCUAGAGAUAGGAUUUUCCCCUUCGGGGGACAGAGUGACAGGUGGUGCAUGGUUGUCGUCAGCUCGUGUCGUGAGAUGUUGGGUUAAGUCCCGCAACGAGCGCAACCCUUGAUCUUAGUUGCCAGCAUUUAGUUGGGCACUCUAAGGUGACUGCCGGUGACAAACCGGAGGAAGGUGGGGAUGACGUCAAAUCAUCAUGCCCCUUAUGACCUGGGCUACACACGUGCUACAAUGGAUGGUACAAAGGGCUGCAAGACCGCGAGGUUUAGCCAAUCCCAUAAAACCAUUCUCAGUUCGGAUUGCAGGCUG
rnacentral:rRNA from 1 species